rnacentral:rRNA from 1 species
UACGGAAGGCAGCAGGGGGAAAUAUUGCACAAUGGGCGCAAGCCUGAUGCAGCCAUGCCGCGUGUAUGAAGAAGGCCUUCGGGGUUGUAAAGUACUUUCAGUCGUGAGGAAGGUGUUAAGGUUAAUAACCUUAGCAAUUGACGUUAGCGACAGAAGAAGCACCGGCUAACUCCGUGCCAGCAGCCGCGGUAAUACGGAGGGUGCGAGCGUUAAUCGGAAUUACUGGGCGUAAAGGGCACGCAGGCGGUUAAUUAAGUUGGAUGUGAAAUCCCCGGGCUUAACCUGGGAAUGGCAUUCAAGACUGGUUAGCUAGAGUCUUGUAGAGGGGGUAGAAUUCCAUGUGUAGCGGUGAAAUGCGUAGAGAUGUGGAGGAAUACCGGUGGCGAAGGCGGCCCCUGGACAAAGACUGACGCUCAUGUGCGAAAGCGUGGGGAGCAAACAGGGAUUAGAUACC